GACGAACGCUGGCGGCGUGCUUAACACAUGCAAGUCGAACGGAAAGGCCCUGCUUUUGUGGGGUGCUCGAGUGGCGAACGCGUGAGUAACACGUGAGGAACCUGCCCUUGACUUUGGGAUAACUUCAGGAAACUGGGGCUAAUACCGGAUAGGAGCUCCUGCAGCGCGGUGGUGGUUGGAAAGUUUCGGCGGUUGGGGAUGGACUCGAGGCUUAUCAGCUUGUUGGUGGGGUAGUGGCUUACCAAGGCUUUGACGGGUAGCCGGCCUGAGAGGGUGACCGGCCACAUUGGGACUGAGAUACGGCCCAGACGCCUACGGGAGGCAGCAGUGGGGAAUAUUGCACAAUGGGCGGAAGCCUGAUGCAGCAACGCCGCGUGCGGGAUGACGGCCUUCGGGUUGUAAACCGCUUUCGCCUGUGACGAAGCGUGAGUGACGGUAAUGGGUAAAGAAGCACCGGCUAACUACGUG
rnacentral:rRNA from 1 species